rnacentral:rRNA from 1 species
UACGGAGGGUGCGAGCGUUGUCCGGAAUCAUUGGGCGUAAAGGGCGCGUAGGUGGCGGGACAAGCGUGCGGUGAAAGCUCGGGGCUCAACCCCGAGUCGGCCGUGCGAACUGUCUUGCUUGAGCACUGUAGAGGCAGGCGGAAUUCCGGGUGUAGCGGUGGAAUGCGUAGAGAUCCGGAAGAACACCGGUGGCGAAGGCGGCCUGCUGGGCAGUUGCUGACACUGAGGUGCGAAAGCGUGGGGAGCAAACAGG